CAGUAGCUCAGAGAUAGAGCAACACCCUCCUAAGGUGUAGAUCGGGGAUUCGAAUCUCUCCUG
rnacentral:tRNA from 1 species